rnacentral:lncRNA from 1 species
GGGCGGGGCCAGAUUCUCUUUCUCCAAUGCUAAGGAAAGGGAGCCAGCGAUUGACUGCAAUCAACCAAAACCUCCCGGGGAUCUACCAGUAGAUCGUGAUCGACCUGUUGGACAUCCCUCCUCUAGCAGAAUGGGCAAUAUGCUCCCAUCUAUAGACACAUAAGGAAGGGAGAAUCAGUCUAUAGAACUGGAUUUAGAAAAGAUUGUUGCAUAAGAAGCAAAAUAAAAGACACCAAGUAGACAGAAUUAUGUGUCCCAAGUGCUUCGGAAGUUCUGGUACACAAAACGAUGGCAAAAGGAGCCAAGAAAAGAAGGUCUUUCAAUUCUGAUUCCCAGAUGAUGGCUGGUUUCUGUGUGGAAACCAGAGUCCUAUGAAAGAGGUUGUUCCAAGCUUGUAUUAUGAGCUCAUCCACAUUCUACAAAUCAGAACAACACAAGGGGAAUAUAUCUGGCAGUAGUACGAAUGGAGGUGGCCAAUUUUGACAGAUGGCAGAAGAAUAUCUCAGAGCACCUGUAAACCUACACUCCAAGUUUGUAAAUCCCUUUGGGAAUGCAGCUGAUGUUAAUAGGUUUUUUACAUUUGGCAGUGUGAAAAAUGCUUUAAAGAAGCAAAAAGUGUAUAUGCCCUAUUGCUUGCGCUCUGAACAUUAGUGUAGUUAAAUGCCAUACAUUAAUCCGAUUGCAGUUUUUGAAGUUAAAUAAAUAGAUUUAAACAAAAAA